GAGCUUGCUCUUAUGAAGUUAGCGGCGGACGGGUGAGUAACACGUGGGUAACCUGCCCAUAAGACUGGGAUAACUCCGGGAAACCGGGGCUAAUACCGGAUAACAUUUUGAACCGCAUGGUUCGAAAUUGAAAGGCGGCUUCGGCUGUCACUUAUGGAUGGACCCGCGUCGCAUUAGCUAGUUGGUGAGGUAACGGCUCACCAAGGCAACGAUGCGUAGCCGACCUGAGAGGGUGAUCGGCCACACUGGGACUGAGACACGGCCCAGACUCCUACGGGAGGCAGCAGUAGGGAAUCUUCCGCAAUGGACGAAAGUCUGACGGAGCAACGCCGCGUGAGUGAUGAAGGCUUUCGGGUCGUAAAACUCUGUUGUUAGGGAAAAACAAGUGCUAGUUGAAUAAGCUGGCACCUUGACGGUACCUAACCAGAAAGCCACGGCUAACUACGUGCCAGCAGCCGCGGUAAUACGUAGGUGGCAAGCGUUAUCCGGAAUUAUUGGGCGUAAAGCGCGCGCAGGUGGUUUCUUAAGUCUGAUGUGAAAGCCCACGGCUCAACCGUGGAGGGUCAUUGGAAACUGGGAGACUUGAGUGCAGAAGAGGAAAGUGGAAUUCCAUGUGUAGCGGUGAAAUGCGUAGAGAUAUGGAGGAACACCAGUGGCGAAGGCGACUUUCUGGUCUGUAACUGACACUGAGGCGCGAAAGCGUGGGGAGCAAACAGGAUUAGAUACCC
rnacentral:rRNA from 1 species